UACGUAGGGGCAAGCGUUGUCCGGAAUCAUUGGGCGUAAAGCGCGCGAUAGGCGGCCAGAUAAAGUCCGGUGUGAAAGUCACAGGCUCAACCUGUGAAUAGCCGCUUGGAAACUGUUUGGCUUGAGUCCGGAAGGGGCGAGUGGAAUUCCUGGUGUAGCGGUGAAAUGCGCAGAUAUCAGGAGGAACACCGGUGGCGAAGGCGGGUCUCUGGGCCGUAACUGACGCUGAGGAGCGAAAGCAUGGGGAGCGAACAGG
rnacentral:rRNA from 1 species